rnacentral:rRNA from 1 species
GGGAAUCUGCCUAUUAGUGGGGGACAGCCCAGCGAAAGCUGGAUUAAUACCGCAUACGCCCUACGGGGGAAAGCAGCAAUGCGCUAAUAGAUGAGCCCGCGUAAGAUUAGCUAGUUGGUAUGGUAAAGGCUUACCAAGGCGACGAUCUUUAGCUGGUCUGAGAGGAUGGCCAGCCACAUCGGGACCGAGACACGGCCCGGACUCCUACGGGAGGCAGCGGUCGGGAAUAUUGGACAAUGGGCGCAAGCCUGAUCCAGCAAUACCGCGUGUGUGAAGAAGGCUUGCGGGUUGUAAAGCACUUUCAGUUGGGAAGAUAAUGACGUUACCAACAGAAGAAGCACCGGCUAACUCCGUGCCAGCAGCCGCGGUAAUACGGAGGGUGCAAGCGUUAAUCGGAAUUACUGGGCGUAAAGCGUGCGUAGGCGGCCUGUUAAGUCAGAUGUGAAAGCCCCGGGCUUAACCUGGGAACUGCAUCUGAUACUGGGAGGCUAGAAUGUGGGAGAGGAGAGUGGAAUUUCCGGUGUAGCGGUGAAAUGCAUAGAGAUCGGAAGGAACACCAGUGGCGAAGGCGGCUCUCUGGACCAACAUUGACGCUGAGGCACGAAAGCGUGGGUAGCAAACAGGAUUAGAUACCCUGGUAGUCCACGCCGUAAACGAUGUCAACUAGCCGCCGGCCUCACUCUAGAGGUCGGUGGUGCAGCUAACGCAUUAAGUUGACCGCCUGGGGAGUACGGCCGCAAGGUUGAAACUCAAAGGAAUUGACGGGGGCCCGCACAAGCGGUGGAGCAUGUGGUUUAAUUCGAUGCAACGCGAAGAACCUUACCUGGUCUUGACAUGUAGU